rnacentral:SRP_RNA from 16 species
ACCAGGGGGGGGCAACAGACGAGGCGGGCAACAGAGCAGCG